AUCCAGCUGACGAGUCCCAAAUAGGACGAAAUGCGCUUCAAACUGGAU
rnacentral:hammerhead_ribozyme from 1 species